UACGUGGGUGGCGAGCGUUGUCCGGAUUUACUGGGCGUAAAGAGCGCGCAGGCGGUCGUUCAAGUCGCGUGUGAAAGCCCCCGGCUCAACUGGGGAGGGUCACGCGAUACUGAUCGACUCGAAGGCAGGAGAGGGAAGUGGAAUUCCCGGUGUAGUGGUGAAAUGCGUAGAUAUCGGGAGGAACACCAGUGGCGAAGGCGACUUCCUGGCCUGUUCUUGACGCUGAGGCGCGAAAGCUAGGGGAGCAAACGGG
rnacentral:rRNA from 1 species